rnacentral:lncRNA from 1 species
GCUCGGAGAAGACCUGUCUAUGCCCAAUAUAGUAAUGUGGCUGCCACUCCUGCCAAAGAAGGCAGUCAGUCACUAGCAGCCACUAACCCUACAUAUUACACAUGAUUGUCCUGUCAAGCAAUUGAUCAGAAUCUAAGGUCUAUAAGAAGGGUGAAAAAUCUUUUGUUUGAUGUUGACAAAUAUCUGUUUUUACCAAGAAACAAAUCAUGGCCGUCACAAUUUAACUCGACUUUACUGUUCGAGACAUUAAACUACAUAUGAAUGCAAUAGAUUUUCUACAGUUUUCUAAAAUGCGUAGAUCUAAGAAAUUUAUGCCAAGCAUUGCUGGAGUCCCUAGAGGCACAGCUGCCUAAUUAAGAACAUCAAGGGACUCACAAGGGACGGGUAUGCCAGCAACUAUAGAGCACCCGUCAUCACCCUAUAACAACAGAUACUAGUCUAGAUAUAAUACGAGUGGUCCAGGUACAGGAAAGCCUUUGUCUACAAAGAGUUCCCAUAUAAGGCAGCAAGACGGCAACUUUAACACACAAAUGAGAAGAACAUGCAAUAUUUCUCAACUUGAUACCAGAAGAAACAAACACCAAGAACGAUUUAGGAACAAUAACUCAUAAAAGACCCACCUUCCUAGAAGUCUAGAAAUCCUGUGUAUUGCCGCAAAUCUUCAGGAAAGAAAUCCCGAUAUAACGCUCAAGAAAUUAAUUACCUAGAUAGCUCUGGUACGGGAAUUCCAAAUGGGAAUCGAAUUAUCCAAUAACAAGCAUGGAUUUCCUCAGGCAUAGCAAUCGGGGAGGCCGCAGAGAUGAGCCUUGCAUUGGACUUCCACAAAUGAAAGGAAUUCCUCAGAUUCCAGAGAGGGCGCCGGCGAGAUCGUUUUGGGGAUUAGGGUUCCGAGAUGGGAAUCUGGAAACAGAGAGUGGCAGUAAGUUUGACAGAUUAGAAAGAGGAACCGUGAGGUAAAAAAGCACCGAGGAAUACAAAUUACAAAGAUAAGCUGAAUGGGCUCUCCGUACAAAAU